rnacentral:ncRNA from 2 species
CCCCUGGAAAGCCUGAAUCACUUAAAAAUCAGGCACCGAAGGGGCAAACUGGUUGGUAUGAAAGCCAGUCGGUGAAACUCUCAGGUACAAAGACAGGGG